rnacentral:lncRNA from 1 species
CUCCAAAACCCAGACUAAACUAAAAUCCCAGAAAGAAGGAACAUGGGCAUUUUCCCCACACCAUAAGUGGGUGGGCCCAUCUGACCUCACAAUCCAAUUUGAGAAGUGAAAUUUUGGUAGAAAAUGAGCAUCUUGGGAAGAUGGGGGACCAGUUGUCAGGAUGUGGAGAACACAGCUGAAGGCUGGCAGCUGCUGGACAGCCUAAGGCUCUAAUGUGGGAUUUAAGCAAGCCUCUGCCUCAGGGGUUGGGCUAUGAGGCUCUAGGAAAAACAAUGAACUCAAGAGACAUCCGAGGAGUCCGUGCCACCGCCUUCGACGCCGGCACACACCAUGGUGGGCAACACUCGACCCGGGUAGUCCUUGUUGCAAGAUGCUUCAGAGAUAAUGCUGAUGUUGGCACAAUGCAACGUAUCAGGGAGUCUCACUGAGGAGGACAGAUGGCUUUGAGUAUAUUUAAUUCCUUUGGUUCUUGUUCCCUCCAUUCAAGAACCCCUGGGGACAACAUUGCUGG